AUUGAACGCUGGCGGCAUGCCUUACACAUGCAAGUCGAACGGCAGCACGGGUGCUUGCCCCUGGUGGCGCGUGGCGAACGGGUGAGUAAUACAUCGGAACAUGUCCUGUUGUGGGGGAUAGCCCGGCGAAAGCCGGAUUAAUACCGCAUAUGCUCUACGGGUGAAUGCGGGGGCCCUUCGGCCCUCGCUCUCUGGUGUUGGUCGAUGGCUGAUUAGCUAGUUGGUGGGGUAAAGGCCUACCAAGGCGACGAUCAGUAACUGGUCUGAGAGGACGACCAGCCACACUGGGACUGAGACACGGCCCAGACUCCUACGGGAGGCAGCAGUGGGGAAUUUUGGACAAUGGGCGAAAGCCUGAUCCAGCAAUGCCGCGUGUGUGAAGAAGGCCUUCGGGUUGUAAAGCACUUUUGUCCGGAAAGAAAUCCUUGGCCCUAAUACGGUCGGGGGAUGACGGUACCGGAAGAAUAAGCACCGGCUAACUACGUG
rnacentral:rRNA from 1 species